GUACAUAAUGUAUACUCUAAAUUAGACCCUGCAUCACCAACAGUUGGCCAAUUUGGAAAUGAGCUAACAUGGUUUAAAGAUGCAAGAAGAACUUUUGGAGAACCAACAUCAAUUGUUGCUCGAACAACAAUGUCUCAUAGUGAGUGUAAACAUAUUUCACUAUAAGUUUAUAAUAGAAUUUGUUCGAGUUA